rnacentral:rRNA from 1 species
UACGUAGGGGGCGAGCGUUGUCCGGAUUUAUUGGGCGUAAAGAGCGUGUAGGCGGCCAGGUAGGUCUGCUGUGAAAACUCGAGGCUCAACCUCGAGACGUCGGCGGAAACCAUCUGGCUAGAGUCCGGAAGAGGAGAGUGGAAUUCCUGGUGUAGCGGUGAAAUGCGCAGAUAUCAGGAGGAACACCGGUGGCGAAGGCGGUUCUCUGGGCCUGUACUGACGCUGAGGAACGAAAGCGUGGGGAGCGAACAGG